CAGGAAGCAUGGCUCAGUGGCCUCAGGAAACUUACAAUUAUGGUGGAAAGUGAAGGGAAAGCAAGCAUGUCUUGCAGUGGUGAAGCAGGAGAGAGAGAACAAAGGGGGGAAGUGUUGCACACUUUCAAAGCAUCAGAUAUAAUAAGAACUCACUAUUGUGAGAACAGCAAAGGGGGAAUACGCCCCCAUGAUCCAAUCACCUCCCACGAGAUCCCUCCCCCAACACUGGGAAUUAUGCAAUCCAACGUGAGAUUUGGCUGGGGACACACAGCCAAACCAUAUAACUGUUUAAAUAAAGGCAAGGUAGUAGAAAAUGUCUGUGGGACUAUCUGAAAAAAGGUUCUUAGGAAUAUCUCUGUGAAGUGGCUUGGAGAAAUCACAUUAUUCUGAAAUGAUUCAGAAGAACAAAGUACACUAUUUACGUCUGAUUUUUUUCUAAGUAACCAAAAUAAUUCCAUUCUUCAUUGUAGUAAAACUAAAAUGUUUUACAUCUAAGUAGGAAUUUCUCAGUUUCCAAGUAAACUGAUAUAAAAUUGUCCAAACUAAAGAUAUUAACAGCAAAUUGUUAAUGUCCUGCCUCAGUUUCUAUGGAAACUUAGGAAUUGUAGGCAAAUGCUGAAAUUGAGGUUUCGCUUAUCACUUUAUUGAAUGCCAGAAAAAUAAAUUUCAAGAGGCAAAUUGAAAUGAAAAUUUAAGUGUCAUGCAAAUAAACAUAAAAUGUUAAAUUCUGUGCUCACAAACUAUUUUUUUAACUUUUCUGAUUUAACACUCCUUAUUAUUGUUCUAUGCUUAAGGCAUGAUACCUUACCUCUCCUGUCUCCAGCUUCUCUUGUCCAGGAAAUUCUCAGCUUCAAUUUACAGUGACAAGAGAAAACUCUUUAAAAAUUAUUAACCUGCUUGAUUGGUAAAUUUGGGUAAUUUUAUUACCUCUACUUUUAUCCGUAUCUGUUGAAAUUAAUGUAUAGACAUAAGAUGGAGCCAGGCAAGAUGGAAUAUAUCAGUAAUUCCAGCUACUCAGGAGGCUGAGGCAGGAGGAUCACUUGAGCCCUGGCCAGAAGACUGAGGCCAGUAUGGGCAACACAGUUAAGACCCCUUUCCCUUUAGAAAAAAAAAUGGACAGGUAAAUGUUGCCUCUGAGUUGUAUAAAAUAAGCUUUUAAUUGAACUAAUCAAGGUGGAGUAAGUUCUAAGAGAUAAGUUUACUUUAUAGGUAAAACAUACAAUGUAUUCCACAGUUUUAAAGUUUAGGAACUGAAUUAGGCAUCGCUACCAUCUCCAUGUCAGUUUCAGGGUACUUACUAUAGAACCUUAGUUCUGUUCAGUAGCUGUCUUACAUAGUCAUUUCAGAUCUCAAAGUCUUUGUUUUUUCAUCAUCAAUACAGGGAGAAUAUACACAGGCCUUAUUUGUGUUUGGAAGGGCCAAAUAAGAUGUACAUUAAAAUGUGUUGUACAUACUAAAAAAAGACAUGAAGAGCCUAUUUUGGGAUCUCAUCCAGCACUACCCAUCUACCAACUGGUGUGUAAAGUCACUGAGGUUUACCUUACACCACCAAACAGAGCAUAAAUAUUCACAAGUACUUCCAUACUUUGUGCAUAAAGUUACAAUCUAUUAACACAAUCUAUUCGUUCUUUCACUAUUAUUGAAUAUUCUGAAAAUUGAAUAUGGUACUUUCCAGUUAUAAAGGCACAUACAUCAUGAGCUUUAAUUCUUCUUCUUCUUUUUUUUUUUUUUU
rnacentral:lncRNA from 10 species